AAUGAACGCUGGCGGCGCGCCUAAUACAUGCAAGUCGAGCGAGAAGACGUAGCAAUACGUUUGUAAAGCGGCGAACGGGUGAGGAAUACAUGGGUAACCUACCCUCGAGUGGGGAAUAACUAGCCGAAAGGUUAGCUAAUACCGCGUACGCUCCUUGGACUUCGGUUCAGGGAGGAAAGCGAUACCGUGGGUAUCGCGCUCUUGGAUGGGCUCAUGUCCUAUCAG
rnacentral:rRNA from 1 species